UUUUUAACAUAUUGCAGACGAAGAAAUCCAUGAGCAUUCUCGUUUUAUUUUAAUGCCUGAGGCUGAUUACGAAAAUUCUCGUAUUUUCAUCGUUGUCAUUUAGAAAGAAACAAUUUAACUAUACCCUAGGUAGACCUAGUAAUAAAACGAUUAAUUAACACAAUUUAUACUGAUAUAUUGUAUUUCGAUGUAGAGUUCUAUUUAGAUGAAUAUCGAAAUUUCAAUCAUCUGAAUAACAUCCGGGUACUAAGAGAACUAGAUAACGUUCCUGCAUCAAACGCACCCUGCUGGUAAAUUUUGAAAUUAAAAUUUGAAAUUGCACCAUUUCGCGCGGUGUCAUAUUGAGAAGAGGAAGCAACUGUCGAUAGUUCGUCAUAAAUGUGGAAAAUUUAAUAUACAAAACCAAGUCACUCCUUCAAAAUAGUGAGAAUCUUAAUUUCAUACAUUUUACAUUCAUAAUCUAAUACAAUUUAUAGUGAUUUGUCGUUUUCUAAUGUGAAUAGAUGUUUAUUGUUUUUCAAUCAAAGUUACGUCGAGAAGUACAAAUCAUUAUUGGAGUGAAAUUCUUUUCUUUUCACUGCCCUCGAUUUUUUUCUUUCCUUCUUUUCCCUUGAUGAUCUUUUUUACCUUUUUUUUCUUUUCUUUCAUAUAUCAUUAACAAAAGAAAUAUAGUUUGAUAAUAAUCGUUCGAUUUUACGGUAAUAAUAAUUAUGCGAUAUUUUAUUUUAAUUUUGCUGUAAAGUUUUAUAUUUCAUUAUCUUAAAUUGUUCGAACAAUCAUUACUUCUUUCAAAACAAAUUAUAAUAAUUCACAUUUUGUUAAAGGUAUUUGACUGCUUCCUCUUUUUUUUGCUCCUCGAAAAGGACCUAGUGGUGCUUGAAAAGUCAAGAAUGUUUCUUCCAACCUUCAUUUCCUUCAUUGAAUUCGACAAUUCCGACUUGAUGAGAAUUUCUCUUAAGAUGAUUUAAUGAGAAUUUCUCUUGGGCAACAUUAUCGAUGACAACGUUGUUCGUAUAUAAUCGUACUCACGUGCCUAGGUUCUAGUCGGAUGGGAGAAAAGCAAUGGGCAUGAUGACUAGUUUGUGAGUUUAACAAUUUUUCAGUGACUGAUGUUGCGUUAGUAUGGUGCACGACCGUUUGUGUGGUUAGGCUGUGGAAUUGCAUCGCUUUUGCUAUUCAUUAUAAUUUAAAAAUAUUUAUAAAUUCGCAAAUAUGAAUCCAAUUACAAUUGACAAUAACGAUGCUAAUAAAUAUGUAUAGCAGAUUAUAAAUAGUAAUAUUAAUCUUAGUAUUAAAUUACAAUGAUAGUUAGAUAGAAUUGAUUUAGAUAUCAUGAUCUAUUCUAG